rnacentral:ncRNA from 1 species
UAAAGUAAGCUUUUAUGGAAUUAAAAUUUGAUUAUGGUUUAAUAAUUUAUUAUAAUGACAUUAUUUAAUUUUAAUUUGUUUAGUGGGCAAUAUUAUUUUACCCCGGCAAUUAAUUGUUUGUAUAAUACUUGUUCCAGAAUAAUCGGCUAGGCUUGUUAAAUUUAAACUUUAUUUUUGGUUAAUUAUAAAUAUUAUAGAUAGAUUUUAAUUAUUUUAGGUUAAAUUAUAAUUAUUAUAAUAAAAAUGUUUAUAAUUAUAAGUUUUGGUAAACGAAUUAGAUUAGUACCUAAGUAGACAAAUUUUAAAAGUGCAGAAGUAAAGUUGUAUUUAAACUGAAAAAAUAUUGGCAGAUUAAUUAAAUUAUCUUUGGAGGUUGAGUAAUAAUUGAGAACCCUCAUUGCUUACUAUUUUUUUUGGCUUAUGUAUGAUCGUUUAUUGUGUAUUUAAGAUAUAUAAUAUAAAUUUUUAAAUUAUAAAAAUAGAUAUAUAUUUAGUUAAUAAAAAAGUUAAAUUUGACCUACACUAAUAUAAUUUGUGGAUAUUAAAUGUGAGAUUUGAUUGAAAAUGUAAAAGACAGUAAAAAAAUUUUAAUGGUUUUUUGAAGAUUAUUUAAUAAUGGUACAAAUCAUCCAUCAAUUGCCCCCAGGGGAGUAAGUUGUAGUAAAGUAGAUUUAGGGGAACCUUAAUCUAAUAUUU